CUCCUUAUUAUUCUUUGUAUAAAGCUUUUUAUUCUCUUCCAGAUGUGGUGAUGGAGAAACAAGAAUCAAUCUAUUUUGCGUCUUUCGGCAUAGUAGAUUCUAUCUUUUAUAUUCUGAAAGAAUCUUUACCAAUUCAAAAUAAUAAUUGCACCAUCCAAGGCCAAAAAUGUUUUUGAUAUAGAUGAGACUCAUCUGCAAGAGGAAUGCCAAUUGCAUAAAAGAUUCGUAAGCUAACCAAACUAGGAAGAGUGCAGGAGAAUCUAUUUUUAUUGACUUUAAGAGAGGAAGAAAUUUGUGUUUCAUUUAAAAGAGGAGGGGAUAAAGAAUAACGGAGGACCUCAGUGCCAGGCGGGCUCAGGGAAAGGCGAAUAUAGACAGUCUUACUUCCUCAUGAGAGAAGCUGGUUUCAAGAUUCAAAAUGACUUCUAAUCCAUAACCUAUGAUGGCACCUGUCGGAAAGCCUGUGAAAGCCUGCAGAAAUCCAAGGUGCGACAGUUUGAUGAUUGAAGGUGUUAGAGAUGUGGUGAUGAAGAGACAAGAAUCAAUCUAUUUUGCAUCUUUCGGCAUGAUAGAAUCAUCUUUUAUCUUAUGAAAGGAUAACAUUGAGAUGGAGCAUCUCGGACAAGGAGAUGAGAUACCUGGUCUAUCUUGCGUUGGAAUACCUUCAGCAGUGGACAUCUAGCAUUGUUGACCUUUUCGAUGGCCGUGCGCAUAUAAUCAAGUAACCCUUGUGACCUAUCACUAUUGCCUAGAUGAAUCAAAUUGCUACACUCACAACGAAGCCGUUGACUAUGUGGUGGCUGUGUCAGUGGCAGACGACAUUUUUGACAUGCCAUAGACAUCAUUUGUACAGUAAACUAGUUCUGCUCAGUAACUAAAGUUAGCAGACACUAAGAUUGUCCCUUCAUUUCCAUAUCGUUGAUAUUCAAAUGGCAAUGUGCUGGUUUAGAAGAAGAUGCCGCUACAGAAGCAGAAGAUGAAACUGGCUUUGCCUUUUCCAUCGCUCUUUUUGGAAAGUGAAAAUUCGUAUAUAUAGUGGCUGAACACAAUAGCAUAUUCGGAACCUUGUCUUGAUCAGUAAACCCCCCAAAAAAUCUGUGACUUGAUUUUUCUUCUAGAUCGAUCAAUUAAUUGGAUUGAAGUACAAAGGAAUUGAUUGAAGUUUGAUGUCAA